rnacentral:ncRNA from 1 species
AAUUUUAAUCAUUCGAAUUUGUUUUAGAAAUUAGAAAUUCGGAUUUAGAAAUUCCAAUUUUGUUACGCAGUAACAAAAUUGUAGAUACCCUUGUAGUCCACGCCCUAAACGUUGCCGACUAGCUAUCUUGAGUAUCGACCCUCGGGGUGGCGAAGCUAACGCGUUAAGUCGGCCGCCUGGGAAGUACGGCCGCAAGGCUAAAACUCAAAGGAAUAGACGGGGACUCGCACAAGCGGUGGAGCAUGAGGUUUAAUUCGAUAGUAAACGAAGAACCUUACCAGGGCUUGAAAUCCCGAUGAAGUUUUUCCGAAAGGAGGAACGUCUUUUACAAGACAUCGGGACAGGUGUUGCAUGGUUGCCGUCAGCUCGUAUCGUGAGACGUUCCCUUAGGUGGGGUAACGAGCGCAACCCCUAUCCGAUGUUAUAUAUGUCAUCGGAAACCGCCCAGCCCUAGUUUUACUGCCGACGUUAUUAUAGUUGCUAACGUAUGGCGGUGUAGUAAGCACAUUUUCUUUGUUGAGAAUGUUGUUUGUAAAACUAGGGCUGGGAGGAAGGCGGGGAUGACGUCAAAUCCGCAUGACCCUCUGAUGUCCUGGGCUACACUCAUGCUACAAUGGCCGGUACAAUGGGUUGCGAAGUCGCAAGACGGAGCUAAUCCCAUCAAAACCGGUCCCAGUUCGGAUUGGGGUCUGCAAUUCGACCCCAUGAAGUUGGAAUCGCUAGUAAUCGCGGAUCAGCUAUGCCGCGGUGAAUACGUUCUCGAGUCCUGUACUCACUGCCCGUCAAAUCAAGGGAGCCGGGAAUAGGUGAAGCCCCGCCCAAAGCCCGUAGGGCUUUGGGAAAUUAGAAAUUC